CGGGCCUGCUGGGAUACUCCAGGAUGACUGGGAAAGGCACGGGGCGGGGUCUCGCCGUCCGCAGAACGCCGGAAACGGAGUCCUUCCAGACGACUUCCGGUUCCGGUGUAGGCGGUGGUUGAGUUGCCAUGGCAGCGCGGUUGGCAGGAGCCUGGUUGUUGCAUCAGGGCGGUGGCCGGCCUGGAGCAGGCCUGGGCCUGGCUUUCCCAGCUUAGGCACUCGACUUAAUUCACUGCUAUACGAGCGUGGCAGGUGCACGAAUGGGUGGCAUGAGUGAUUCCGGAAGAGCAGGACUCAGUGAAACCACCAGAUCUGUAGUCUUGGAGCUGCGCUGGGUUGGUGGUACCCUAGAGCACACCAGACUUGCAGAAAAAGCAUACUGCAGAGGAAGCUGAGGCAUGACUGCUCAAGAGCCAGCAGUGCCAUGUGCAAUUUUCCUCUGAUAGUCACUGGGUACUGUUGCCACGGUGAUGAUGACUGUGCCGUGUCCUUAUCUAUCCGCCAACAGUAAGAGAAACCUUGCAGUCGAGAUAUUGUUUAACAGAUGGAGUGGUUUCUGUUGGACACUAAGUACUGCUACAAAUGACUUUUUAAAAAACCCUAUGUAUUUUAGAAAUGGUUUUAGAGGUGACCUGUUUAUGUUUUGGAGGUGCUCAGAAAAUUAAAAUCAGAAAACUAGUGCAUGUGCUGUCAGCAAAUGAGUGUUCCAAAUAAUCAGUCAUUCGGCCCGAAGCUUGAGGCUAGGAAACUGAAGAUAAACUCCAGAUGUUGCUCAGAAGUGCUCCUCGUGCGUAUUUAUUUCAUCCCCGUCAGCGUUAUUGAUGUUUGGUAGAUUUCUAAUGUGGGACCCAAAAUGGAUCAGCUUCCUAAAGAAUCCUUUUUUUCCCCAGGUUCCUUGAUUCCAGAUAAAUCAGAGGAACAAGCUUCAUGAACAAAAAUAUAUUGGGAAUGCUGUGGCACUGCAGCGUGACUGUUGUUUCGGAAGUCUAACAUCUGGCACGCUUAACAGCUGAGAAUAUAUUAUUUCCGAAAGCACCUAGCUUUUACUCAUGCUUAUAGUAUAGUAAGUUCUUUUUUUUUUUGUUUGAGGAAGAUUAGCCCUGAUCUAACAUCUGCUGCCAAUCCUGCUCUUUUUGCUGAGGAAGCCUGGCCCUGAGCUAACAUAUGUGCCCAUCUUCCUCUACUUUAUAUGCGGAUGCCGCCACAGCGUGGCUUGCCAAGCAGUGCCAUCUCCGCACCUGGGAUCCGAACUGACGAACCCCGGGCCACUGAAGCGGAAUGUGCGCACUUAACCGCUGUGCUGUGCCACUGGGCCGGCCCCCUAGGACCUCAGUGAUGGUUCGAGCAAAGGCAGGAAGACCAAUCAUGUAUCUGAACCGAAGAAACUGAAACAGUACAUCAAAAUUUAGAUAAAGCUUUAUUGAUUUGAUAAAAUUUCUCUUCCACCCACUCCUCCAAAAGCAAAUUCACGCUUGAAUCCAUAGUUACGAACCUCACACAUUGGAGAUCGUUUCUUCCUAUGUCUCAGCCCUAAACGAAGAGGCGGGGUCGCUGAAGCUAAGAGGGCGCUUUCCUUCCUGACUUCAGUCUCCAAGUCUGUGCUGCGUUCUGACAAAAGCACAUACUUUCUAUAACGCAAACUGUUAUUACACUCCAGCAACUUCUGAGAAGGUGCCCAGACCACAGAAGAUGAAAAGCUGGGAGCCAGUGCUGUUGUGUGUCAGACCUGUUAUGAAGAUUUAUCUGUUACCAGAAGUUUCUGUCCCCCUCUGAUAAUCACUGAGUUCGCGGCCAGAUGAACAUUUAGACCGUUUUAUUGUUUUCUUGUCAAUGAUUGCUAAGAUGUAUUGCCAAGGCCGUAAAUACUCUUUAUGAUGAGUCAGGAUUUCACUUCGUACUUCAAACUUUGAGCCUUAAUGACUUCAUGCCUUCAAAAUUAAAUCUUGCUGUCAUGGGAACCC
ensembl:lncRNA